rnacentral:rRNA from 1 species
UACCGGCGGCUCGAGUGGUGGCCACUUUUAUUGGGCUUAAAGCGUUCGUAGCUGGGUCGCUAAGUCUCUUGGGAAAUCCGGCGGCUUAACCGUCGGGCGUCUAAGAGAAACUGUCGAUCUUGGAACCGGGAGAGGUGAGGGGUACUUCGGGGGUAGGAGUGAAAUCCUGUAAUCCUCGAGGGACCACCUGUGGCGAAGGCGCCUCACCAGAACGGCUUCGACAGUGAGGGACGAAAGCUGGGGGA